AUGACUCAGUGACUGAUCCCUAAGCUCAUUGACAGAUGAAGAACACAGCUAGCUGUGAGAAUUAAUGUGAAUUACAGGACACGCUGAUCAUCAACACUUGAAACACGCUUGCAGCUCUAAGUUCUUUUCAGAGCUAUGCCAAAACAAAGCAAAA
rfam:Felis catus isolate Cinnamon breed Abyssinian chromosome B1, whole genome shotgun sequence.